UACGGAGGGGGCUAGCGUUGUUCGGAAUUACUGGGCGUAAAGCGCACGUAGGCGGCUUUGUAAGUUAGAGGUGAAAGCCCGGGGCUCAACUCCGGAAUUGCCUUUAAGACUGCAUCGCUAGAAUUGUGGAGAGGUGAGUGGAACUGCGAGUGUAGAGGUGAAAUUCGUAGAUAUUCGCAAGAACACCAGUGGCGAAGGCGGCUCACUGGCCCGGUACUGACGCUGAGGCACGAAAGCGUGGGGAGCAAACAGG
rnacentral:rRNA from 1 species